rnacentral:rRNA from 1 species
UACGUAGGGAGCAAGCGUUGUUCGGAUUUAUUGGGCGUAAAGGGCGUGUAGGCGGCGCGGUAAGUCACUUGUGAAAUCUCUGAGCUUAACUCAGAACGGCCAAGUGAUACUGCAGUGCUAGAGUGCAGAAGGGGCAAUCGGAAUUCUUGGUGUAGCGGUGAAAUGCGUAGAUAUCAGGAGGAACACCUACGGCGAAGGCAGGUUGCUGGGCUGACACUGACGCUGAAGCGCGAAAGCGAGGGGAGCGAACGGG